rnacentral:rRNA from 1 species
UACGUAGGGGCUAGCGUUAUCCGGAUUUACUGGGCGUAAAGGGUGCGUAGGCGGUCUUUCAAGCCAGAAGUGAAAGGCUACGGCUCAACCGUAGUAAGCUUUUGGAACUGUAAGACUUGAGUGCAGGAGAGGAGAGUGGAAUUCCUAGUGUAGCGGUGAAAUGCGUAGAUAUUAGGAGGAACACCAGUAGCGAAGGCGGCUCUCUGGACUGUAACUGACGCUGAGGCACGAAAGCGUGGGGAGCAAACAGGAUUAGAUACCCGCGUAGUCCCUGA